AGUGAACGCUGGCGGUAGGCCUAACACAUGCAAGUCGAACGGCAGCACAGUAAGAGCUUGCUCUUACGGGUGGCGAGUGGCGGACGGGUGAGGAAUACAUCGGAAUCUACUUUUUCGUGGGGGAUAACGUAGGGAAACUUACGCUAAUACCGCAUACGACCUACGGGUGAAAGCAGGGGAUCUUCGGACCUUGCGCGAUUGAAUGAGCCGAUGUCGGAUUAGCUAGUUGGCGGGGUAAAGGCCCACCAAGGCGACGAUCCGUAGCUGGUCUGAGAGGAUGAUCAGCCACACUGGAACUGAGACACAGUCCAGACUCCUACGGGAGGCAGCAGUGGGGAAUAUUGGACAAUGGGCGCAAGCCUGAUCCAGCCAUACCGCGUGGGUGAAGAGGGCCUUCGGGUUGUAAAGCCCUUUUGUUGGGAAAGAAAAGCAGCAGGUUAAUACCCCGCUGUUCUGACGGUACCCAAAGAAUAAGCACCGGCUAACUUCGUG
rnacentral:rRNA from 1 species